rnacentral:rRNA from 1 species
GUGCCGCAGCUAACGCAUUAAGUGCCCCGCCUGGGGAGUACGGCCGCAAGGCUGAAACUCAAAGGAAUUGACGGGGGCCCGCACAAGCGGCGGAGCAUGUGGUUUAAUUCGACGCAACGCGAAGAACCUUACCAAGGCUUGACAUACACCGGAAACCCGUAGAGAUACGGCCCCCCUUGUGGUCGGUGUACAGGUGGUGCAUGGUUGUCGUCAGCUCGUGUCGUGAGAUGUUGGGUUAAGUCCCGCAACGAGCGCAACCCUUGUCCUGUGUUGCCAGCAACUCCUUUCGGGGAGGUUGGCACUCACGGGAGACUGCCGGGGUCAACUCGGAGGAAGGUGGGGACGACGUCAAGUCAUCAUGCCCCUUAUGUCCUGGGCUGCACACGUGCUACAAUGGCCGGUACAAUGAGCUGCGAUGCCGUGAGGUGGAGCGAAUCUCAAAAAGCCGGUCUCAGUUCGGAUUGGGGUCUGCAACUCGACCACAUGAAGUCGGAAUCGCUAGUAAUCGCAGAUCAGCAUUGCUGCGGUGAAUACGUUCCCGGGCCUUGUACACACCGCCCGUCACGUCACGAGAGUCGGUAACACCCGAAGCCGGUGGCGCAACCCCUUGUGGGAGGGAGUCGUCGAAGGUGGGACUGGCGAUUGGGACGAAGUCGUAACAAGGUAGCCGUA